rnacentral:tRNA from 1 species
GAGGAUAUAACUCAGUGGUAGAGCAUGUGCUUAGCAUGCACAAGGUCCUGGGUUUCAUCCCCAGUGCCUCCA